UGAGGAAUAUUGGUCAAUGGGCGAGAGCCUGAACCAGACAAGUCGCGUGAAGGAAGACUGCCCGCAAGGGUUGUAAACUUCUUUUGUAUGGGAUUAAAGUCACCUACGUGUAGGUGUUUGCAGUUAUCAUACGAAUAAGCAUCGGCUAACUCCGUGCCAGCAGCCGCGGCAAUACGGAGGAUGCAAGCGUUAUCCGGAAUUAUUGGGUUUAAAGGGUGCGUAGGUUGCAAGGGAAGUCAGGGGUGAAAAGCUAUAGCUCAACGAUGGUCUUGCCUUUGAAACUCUCUAGCUAGAGUGUACUGGAGGUACGUGGUACGUGUGGUGUUGCGGUGAAAUGCAUAGAUAUCACACAGAACUCCGAUUGCGCAGGCAGCGUACUACAAUACAACUGACUCUGAAGCACAAAAGCGGAGGUAUCAAACAGG
rnacentral:rRNA from 1 species